AAAGGAUAAAGGCAAACCUAUGGAAACAUAGCGACGCAAAGCUAAAGGGGCUUCUGCACACCGUGUAAUGCCAGCCAGCUGCGAUC
rnacentral:ncRNA from 1 species